CCGUGCUAGGCGGGGAGUUAGCGGUUCCCUCAUCGCCGGAAAUCCGCUUCAUGCCGGGCCGAAUUCCCUCUCGAGGGGCGACGGCGUUUGGGAUCGCGCUCAGGUGCUGCGGCGUCGAGGGCCGGGUCCCACGCGACGGAUCGAUCUGAACCGGGUCAGGGCCGGAAGGCAGCAGCCCUAAGGAUUUUGAGCCGUGCGCCGUGGGGGUGCCUGGCCGGAGCUGGCGGCCUGAGCGUCCCCGGGCGUCUCGCCACGGAGGAGGGUGCACGG
rnacentral:SRP_RNA from 1 species